rnacentral:rRNA from 1 species
AUUGAACGCUGGCGGCAGGCUUAACACAUGCAAGUCGAGCGAGCGGCGGACGGGUGAGUAAUGUCUGGGCAACUGCCUGAUGGAGGGGGCUACCUACUGGAAACGGUAGCUAAUACCGCAUACUAUCCGAUGGACCCACAUGGGAUUAGCUAGUCGGUGGGGUAAAGGCUCAACUAGGCGACGAUCCCUAGCUGGUCUGCGAGGAUGAUCAGCCACACUGUGACUGAGACACGGUCCAGACUCCUACGUGAGGCAGCAGUGGGGAAUAUUGCACAAUGGGCGCAAGCCUGAUGCAGCCAUGCCGCGUGUAUGAAGAAGGCCUUCGGGUUGUAAAGUACUUUCAUCGGGGAGGCGUUACCCGCAGAAGAAGCACCGGCUAACUCCGUGCCAGCAGCCGCGGUAAUUC